UUAUUUUACAUGGAUAACUGUGGUAAUUCUAGAGCUAAUACAUGCAACAAGCCUUGACCCUUACGGGCAAGGCGCAGUUAUUAGAUCAAAAACCAAUCGGUUGUAUCUUCGGAUAUAGCCGUUAGCUUGGUGACUCUGAGUAACCACAGCGAACCGUAUGGCCUUGUGCUCGACGGUCUGUCAGUCAAGCAACUGCCUUAUCAGCUUGUUGUUAGGUUAUAUGCCUAACAAGGCUUCAACGGGUAACGAACGAUCGGGGUCGGAUAUCGGAGAGGGAGCUUGAGAAACGGCUACCACUUCCAAGGAAGGCAGCAGGCGCGCAAAUUACCCACUCUCGGCAUGAGGAGGUAGCGAUAAAAUGUAUCGAUGCGGGGCCAUUAGUGCCUUCGUAAUCGGAAUGAGUACACUUUAAAUCCUAUAACAAGGACCUAUUGGAGGGCAAGUCUGGUGCCAGCAGCCGCGGUAAUUCCAGCUCCAAUAGCGUAUAUUAAUGCUGCUGCGGUUAAAAAGCUCGUAGUCGGAUCUGGGUUACCGGCGGGUACCGCAUGUUGCUUCAUGCAGCAUGUUGUGUACUAUACGUGUCACUUCGGUGGCACUGCCAGCGUAAUGCUACCUUUAUAGGUACGUUAUGCUGGUCGCCGGAACCACGGGCCGGGUUGAGCAGCAUGCUCUUAAUUGAGUGUGUUGUUUACUCGGUGCGUUUACUUUGAAAAAAUUGGAGUGCUCAAAGCAAGCGUACAGUCGCUAUGCGGCUUGAACAGUGGUGCAUGGAAUAAUGGAAUAGGGCCUCGGUUCUAUUUUGUUGGUUUUAAGAUAUCGAGGUAAUGAUUAAGAGGGACAGACGGGGACGUUUGUAUUGCGACGUUAGAGGUGAAAUUCUUGGAUCGUCGCAAGACACACUAAUGCGAAAGCAUUCGU
rnacentral:rRNA from 1 species